GUAGGUGGCAAGCGUUGUCCGGAAUUAUUGGGCGUAAAGCGCGCGCAGGCGGUUCGUUUAAGUCUGAUGUGAAAGCCCACGGGCUCAACCGUGAGGGUCAUUGGAAACUGGAGAACUUGAGUACAGAAGAGGAAAGCGGAAUUCCACGUGUAGCGGUGAAAUGCGUAGAGAUGUGGAGGAACACCAGUGGCGAAGGCGGCUUUCUGGUCUGUAACUGACGCUGAGGCGCGAAAGCGUGGGGAGCAAACAGGAUUAGAUACCCUGGUAGUCCACGCCGUAAACGAUGAGUGCUAAGUGUUAGGGGGGUUUCCGCCCCUUAGUGCUGCAGCUAACGCAUUAAGCACUCCGCCUGGGGAGUACGGCCGCAAGGCUG
rnacentral:rRNA from 1 species